AACGAACGCUGGCGGCAUGCCUAACCCAUGCAAGUCGAACGAGACCUUCGGGUCUAGUGGCGCACGGGUGCGUAACGCGUGGGAACCUGCCCUUAGGUUCGGAAUAACUCCCCGAAAGGGGUGCUAAUACCGGAUAAUGUCUUCGGACCAAAGAUUUAUCGCCUUUGGAUGGGCCCGCGUUGGAUUAGCUAGUUGGUAGGGUAAAAGCCUACCAAGGCGACGAUCCAUAGCUGGUCUGAGAGGAUGAUCAGCCACACUGGGACUGAGACACGGCCCAGACUCCGACGGGAGGCAGCAGUGGGGAAUAUUGGACAAUGGGCGAAAGCCUGAUCCAGCAAUGCCGCGUGAGUGAUGAAGGCCUUAGGGUUGUAAAGCUCUUUUACCCGGGAUGAUAAUGACAGUACCGGGAGAAUAAGCUCCGGCUAACUCCGUG
rnacentral:rRNA from 1 species